AUCUCAUAAAUUAUCCUAGUCAAGAUUUUACUAAAUCGAAAUAAACUGAUGCAUAUCUCCUACUAAUUCAGAAGGAUCAAUUCCAUCUUGACUCACACACCGACUUGAUAAGUACUUGACUGCACCCAAUAACCUUCCGUUACUAAAUUAGAAAUUCAGAUGGUCCAAUACUAAAGUACAAUGAGUUGCUUACUGUUAGGUUCUGGUA
rnacentral:lncRNA from 1 species